UUCAAUCUCAUGUGCUGGGUAUCUGCAAGGGGAAGCCGCUCAUGUUGCUCAAAGCACAUGAUGUUCCCUCCUUGGCUCUUGGCACACGGACGGAUGGAGGUGUUGAAGGAGCUUCUCAUUGAAGUUAUUUUUGCUUUAUGCUUCAGAGAGACUUGCAUUCACAGAGAAACUUUUUUCCAGAUUGAUUUGGAGUUCGUGUUAUUUGAUUAAUAGUCUGGGGCUUCAUAAUAUAGGCUACUCUUCAAUAUAUUUAAUACCACUUUUACACCUUUUUCCAAAUUAAUUGAAUCCUAUUAUAUGCCUGCUUUAUCUAGUGUCCUUGUGCCAGAAAAAAAUGUAUGCAUUAGAGAACAGUGAGGAGUUUUGUUUCUUUCCACGCAGGAAGUUAAUUGGUUGACAUUUUAUGCUGAUGUAAUUAAGGCGCUGCGCACUUUUAUCUUCUUCUUCUCCUCUUUGCUGAAUAUGAAUGAGUAGCUGGCUCUAUUUUCGGAAGCGGCAGAGGCCAGUUAAUGCGUGUUGUGCUCGAUAUGGCACACAUGUUGAGCAGGGGUUAAAAACGUUUUUAAAAAGAGGGUUAAAAUAAAAGGAGGCUUCUGUUCUUCCCCUUUUUUCCUUGGCAACAGACGCUGUUUGUGUCCUUCGAAGCAGCCUGAGGCUCGCGUGAGUGCAUUCACUCGGCGGAGGACAGGAACAGGACAGGACAAGCACCCUAGACACCAAGCACCAGCACCAGCACCACCGCAGACAUGUCGGACUCCGAGACCGCCGCCGCCCCCGCCGAGGCCCCCGUCCCCGCUGCUUGUGUCACCAUCAAGGCUGACCUGGACAAAUGCGUGGCAGAGAAGGGAGCAGAGGGCUGCAAAGAUCUGAUGGAGGCUUUUGCUGCUUGUGUGAAGAGUGCAGCUGAGGGGUCAUGAGGAGUCGCCCUCCAACCUCGAAUGUCCACUGCACUGAGUCCUCCAAGUUCCCAGCAUUCCCUUCUCCACAACAACACUGAACUGAAUGAUGACGAUAAUGAUGAUAAGGAUGAUCAUGCGUGACAAAAGUGUUGAUUUGGGCUGAAUUUGGGAUGUGGUGGCAGUAACCACAGUUUCCUCCCCCCUCCCCACCCGUUAUAGGCUUAUCAGGUGUCCCUCAGUCUUACCGCCAUUCCCCUUCUCCUUCUGCAGCUGACAUGCAGCACAUCGACCUGUAGACAAUUCCAGAGAGCUGAGCUGUACUGUAAAUUGUCGACUUGAGAUGAAUACUUAUAAAUGGAAAUAAAAGUAUCAAAUACUUGGUAUAAAAAAAA